ACACUCUUAUCAACUAGCCUGCUCCCCAAUAACAACAAACAACAUUAAUAAGCCCACCAACACAAUUUAAAUUAAACAAACCAUUUUUCCUCCUUAGUAUGGGCGACAGAAAAGGACACAUAGCGCUAUAGAAAAAGUACCGCAAGGGAAAGCUGAAAGAGACAAUGAAACAACCCAGUAAAGAGUAAAAAAGCAGAGACCACCCCUCGUACCUUUUGCAUCAUGACUUAGCUAGCACCCCCGAGCAAAGAGCCCUUUAGUUCGAAGCCCCGAAACUAAGCGAGCUACUUCAAGGCAGCCUUCUAGGGCAAACCCGUCUCUGUGGCAAAAGAGUGGGAAGACCUUUAAGUAGAGGUGAUAGACCUACCGAGCUUAGUUAUAGCUGGUUGCCUACGAAAUGGAUAUAAGUUCAGCCUUUUAACUUCUUCCUUCAAAUAUGGAACCCCUUAUAAUGACACAAAGAAAGUUAAAGGAGUUAUUCAAAGGGGGAACAGCCCCCAUGAAAAAAGAUACAACUUUUUAAGAUGGUUAAAGAUCAAAACAAGUAAGGAUAUGUACCCAAGUGGGCCUAAAAGCAGCCACCUCUUCAGAAAGCGUUAAAGCUCAAGUACUUUUUUACCCUCAAAUUCUGACAACAAAAUCUUAUACCCCUAAUAGUAGUAGGCCUUUUCAUGCAAACAUGAAAGAGACCCUGCUAACAUGAGUAAUAAGAGGGCCCGCCCCUCUCCACAGCACCUGUGUACACCAGAACGAACCCACACUGGAAAUUAACGCUCCCAACACCAGAGGGCCAUGAGAAAAUUAUACUAAACCAGUAAAACUCUCAAACAAUAGCGUUUGCCCCACACAGGAGUGCUCGAGGAAAGACUAAAAGGAAAAGAAGGAACUCGGCAAACACUGGCCUCGCCUGUUUACCAAAAACAUCGCCUCUUGUCCCCCAAGCAUAAGAGGUCCCGCCUGCCCUGUGACUUAGUUCAACGGCCGCGGUAUUUUGACCGUGCAAAGGUAGCGUAAUCACUUGUCUUUUAAAUGAAGACCUGUAUGAAUGGCACAACGAGGGCUAAGCUGUCUCCUUUCCCCAGUCAAUGAAAUUGAUCUUCCCGUGCAGAAGCGGGAAUACCCGCAUAAGACGAGAAGACCCUAUGGAGCUUAAGACACAACGCAGCCAACGUUAAGAACCUUAAAUUAAAAAGUUAAACCAAGUAGCGCCUGCACUUUUGUCUUUGGUUGGGGCGACCGCGGGGCAACAAAAAUCCCCCACGUGGAAUAGGGCUACCCUUAAAGCCAGAGCUUCUACUCUAACAAACAGAACAUCUGACCAACAGAUCCGGCAAGACCGAUCAACGGACCGAGUUACCCUAGGGAUAACAGCGCAAUCCCCUUUCAGAGCCCAUAUCGACAAGGGGGUUUACGACCUCGAUGUUGGAUCAGGACCCCCUAAUGGUGCAGCCGCUAUUAAGGGUUC
rnacentral:rRNA from 1 species